rnacentral:lncRNA from 1 species
GAAGAAACGCGUGGAAUCAUUGUUUAACAAUAGUAAAGAUAGUUGAGAAUUUGUGAUAGAGUUUAAUUUGUAGCCUUAGCUUAAUGCAUGGUUCAUGUACGGUUUUGUAAUAGGCAAUGUGGCAGCUUAGGGCACAUAAAUGUAGCACCACAUUAUGUUCUCAUGUAUUUCUUUGUCUUUAAGUUAACCCUUCAAUUUUCACGAGGAAUGAACUCUCGUAAUUCAGAGUUUGAUAAAAGGUAAAUAAAGUAUGAUCGAUGAUUGUUAUAGUCAGGAUUCGAACUCAG